rnacentral:misc_RNA from 1 species
AAGUCGUAACAAGGUAACCGUAGGUGAACCUGCGGUUGGAUCAUUAAACACUGCCGUAAAACUGACCAAGCAUAGUGCGCAAGCCUGUGCUUUCCAUCAGCCUAGCGACAGCUCCUUGCUGUAUCCUUCUGAUUCUAUAACCAGUUCCAGAAGUUGAAGCAGGAGUAAUGUCUUAACCUUUUGUGAACUGUUCCGUCUCUGUCAGGCAGAUAGCUAAAACCUAUCUAGCCAGCAUGUUUUUCAUGACUUGGCAACCUGACAAAGGACCCCGUCUACUUUUUUGCUUUACAUUUUGUCUGACAUUUUAUCUUGUAUUAAUAUACAAAACAACUUUUGGCAACGGAUCUCUUGGCUCUC